CACGUAGGGUGCGAGCGUUGUCCGGAAUUAUUGGGCGUAAAGAGCUCGUAGGCGGUGUGUCGCGUCGGCCGUGAAAACCUGCAGCUUAACUGUGGCUUGCGGUCGAUACGGGCAUCACUGGAGUUCGGCAGGGGAGACUGGAAUUCCUGGUGUAGCGGUGAAAUGCGCAGAUAUCAGGAGGAACACCGGUGGCGAAGGCGGGUCUCCGGGCCGAUACUGACGCUGAGGAGCGAAAGUGUGGGGAGCGAACAGG
rnacentral:rRNA from 1 species